rnacentral:rRNA from 1 species
AACGAACGCUGGCGGCGUGCCUAACACAUGCAAGUCGCACGAGAAAAGGGUAGCAAUACUCUGAGUAAAGUGGCGCACGGGUGAGUAACACGUAGGUAACCUACCUCUAAGACCGGGAUAACUUGUCGAAAGACGGGCUAAUACCAGAUAAGACCACAGUCCUUGCGGGGACCGGGUCAAAGGUGGCCUCUACACGUAAGCUAUCACUUAGAGAUGGGCCUGCGCACCAUUAGCUAGNGGUGGGUAACGGCCCACCAAGGCAAAGAUGGUUAGCUGGUCUGAGAGGAUGAUCAGCCACACUGACACU